rnacentral:tRNA from 1 species
GACUCGAUAGCUCAGUUGGUAGAGCAUCGGACUUUUAAUCCGAGGGUCACAGGUUCGAGCCCUGUUCGAGUCA